rnacentral:rRNA from 1 species
GAUGAACGCUGGCGGCGUGCCUAAUACAUGCAAGUCGAGCGAACGGACGAGAAGCUUGCUUCUCUGAUGUUAGCGGCGGACGGGUGAGUAACACGUGGAUAACCUACCUAUAAGACUGGGAUAACUUCGGGAAACCGGAGCUAAUACCGGAUGAUAUUUUGAACCGCAUGGUUCAAAAGUGAAAGACGGUCUUGCUGUCACUUAUAGAUGGAUCCGCGCUGCAUUAGCUAGUUGGUAAGGUAACGGCUUACCAAGGCAACGAUGCAUAGCCGACCUGAGAGGGUGAUCGGCCACACUGGAACUGAGACACGGUCCAGACUCCUACGGGAGGCAGCAGUAGGGAAUCUUCCGCAAUGGGCGAAAGCCUGACGGAGCAACGCCGCGUGAGUGAUGAAGGUCUUCGGAUCGUAAAACUCUGUUAUUAGGGAAGAGCAUAUGUGUAAGUAACUGUGCACACCUUGACGGUACCUAAUCAGAAAGCCACGGCUAACUACGUG